UACGUAGGGGGCAAGCGUUGUCCGGAAUCAUUGGGCGUAAAGAGUGUGUAGGCGGUUCGGUAAGUCGGCUGUGAAAGUCCAGGGCUCAACCCUGGGAUGCCGGUCGAUACUGCCGGACUAGAGUUCGGAAGAGGCGAGUGGAAUUCCCGGUGUAGCGGUGAAAUGCGCAGAUAUCGGGAGGAACACCUAUGGCGAAGGCAGCUCGCUGGGACGUUACUGACGCUGAG
rnacentral:rRNA from 1 species